GACGAACGCUGGCGGCGUGCCUAAUACAUGCGAGUAGAACGCUGAAGGAGGAGCUUGCUUCUCUGGAUGAGUUGCGAACGGGUGAGUAACGCGUAGGUAACCUGCCUGGUAGCGGGGGAUAACUAUUGGAAACGAUAGCUAAUACCGCAUAAUAGUAGAUGUCGCAUGACAUUUGCUUAAAAGGUGCAAUUGCAUCACUACCAGAUGGACCUGCGUUGUAUUAGCUAGUUGGUGAGGUAACGGCUCACCAAGGCAACGAUACAUAGCCGACCUGAGAGGGUGAUCGGCCACACUGGGACUGAGACACGGCCCAGACUCCUACGGGAGGCAGCAGUAGGGAAUCUUCGGCAAUGGACGGAAGUCUGACCGAGCAACGCCGCGUGAGUGAAGAAGGUUUUCGGAUCGUAAAGCUCUGUUGUAAGAGAAGAACGAGUGUGAGAGUGGAAAGUUCACACUGUGACGGUAUCUUACCAGAAAGGGACGGCUAACUACGUG
rnacentral:rRNA from 1 species